GAAUCAUUUCUGGUUGGGGCCACAGAGUGGGGUUGGCAGGUCCAGGUGGAACCAUGGGUGUUAGACAUGAAAAAAACCUGAAAAUAUAUGUCAAAGUUCAAUCUUAGGUUCCACAGUAGAGAUUCUAUUUGCAGCAGUAAUUGGAGAAGUUGCGUAUCUUACACCUCUGGAAUAAUGGCUGACAAUCGUUUACGUCUCAGCCUUAGAAAGACCUAGUCUCCUCUCCUUCCCUGAGCCUGAUGGCUUUACAAAAGUGGUUGAGUUUUCUGGUUUCUGAUAACUUUGAAGAUUGUGACACUAGAAUAGAAGAAACAACUUUCAGAACUCUCGUGGAAAACUGGAAUGUUCAUGAAUAUUAAACAGAACAGGAGUUAACUGCAUGGACUGAACUACAGAAGCUAUUCACAGCUUGAAGCAAUUAAGUAAAGUAUACUCCUAUAAACAAAAUUUGGAGCAUAUUUGUUUCUCUCUACCUAAUUUCUCCAGAAUUUGGAAACUAUUUAUGAGCCAUGUGAUGUCAGAAGUGUGAUGUGCCAUGCUCCACUACAGACAGGAAGUGGAAUAGCCAGGAACUUGAAUCCAAGCCUUCUUAUGCCAAAAUUCUCCUUUGAUACGUGAAGGCAGCCUCAUCACUCCAAAGGUUUCUGGAACUGAAAUAAUAACAUCAUGUCUUGUUAUUGGAACAAUAUAUCAAAAGACAAGCAAAUAUAAAGCUAAUUCUCUGUGGAAUGAUACUUUCAAGUUGGAAUUUAUGUUACAUUAACCUAUUGUUUGAGAGGUUAUAUAUGAUGAUAUUUUUGCCUUAAAUAUUAUUUGACUAGUGUGGGUUUACCAAGCUAA
rnacentral:lncRNA from 1 species